rfam:Schistosoma rodhaini strain Burundi genome assembly, scaffold: SROB_scaffold0005636
AUCCAGCUGACGAGUCCCAAAUAGUAAGAAACGCGCGUCCUGGAU